GGGGGCGUACUGGAUUCGACCGGAUAGACGCGCCAGGGAUUGCAUGCCGAGGAUGAUCCGUUGGCCUCGUAAAUCAUCGGAUUAAAAACUAUAACUGCCAACGAAGAAUUGGCUCUCGCGGCUUAAUUACGCCGUGACGUCUGUCAGCUGACACCGGCUGGGCUGAGCAGGCGUCGUUAGCCGGUUGGGUCCGCGACGGAGACCGCGCGAAACGGACCGAGAUUUUUUCAUGCGGACUAGGCGGCGGGAUACUGGCCGGGAGGUUUUUCCGUUGCUGACCAAACAAUUCCGGCUAAGCAUGUAGAGGUUUCUGGUUAAGCUGUUUGGGACGCGGGUUCAAUUCCCGCCGCCUCCACCA
rnacentral:tmRNA from 1 species